AAUAGAUACCCCGGUAGUCCACCCCGUAAACGUUGGGAACUAGUUGUGGGGUCCUUUCCACGGAUUCCGUGACGCAGCUAACGCAUUAAGUUCCCCGCCUGGGGAGUACGGCCGCAAGGCUAAAACUCAAAGGAAUUGACGGGGACCCGCACAAGCGGCGGAGCAUGCGGAUUAAUUCGAUGCAACGCGAAGAACCUUACCAAGGCUUGACAUACACCGGAAACGGCCAGAGAUGGUCGCCCCGCAAGGUCGGUGUACAGGUGGUGCAUGGUUGUCGUCAGCUCGUGUCGUGAGAUGUUGGGUUAAGUCCCGCAACGAGCGCAACCCUCGUUCUAUGUUGCCAGCACGUAAUGGUGGGAACUCAUGGGAUACUGCCGGGGUCAACUCGGAGGAAGGUGGGGAUGACGUCAAAUCAUCAUGCCCCUUAUGUCUUGGGCUUCACGCAUGCUACAAUGGCCGGUACAAAGGGCUGCAAUACCGUGAGGUGGAGCGAAUCCCAAAAAGCCGGUCCCAGUUCGGAUUGAGGUCUGCAACUCGACCUCAUG
rnacentral:rRNA from 1 species